UGGGGAAUAUUGCACAAUGGGCGCAAGCCUGAUGCAGCCAUGCCGCGUGUAUGAAGAAGGCCUUCGGGUUGUAAAGUACUUUCAGUCGGGAGGAAGGUGGUAAGGUUAAUAACCUUAUCAAUUGACGUUACCGACAGAAGAAGCACCGGCUAACUCCGUGCCAGCAGCCGCGGUAAUACGGAGGGUGCAAGCGUAAAUCGGAAUUACUGGGCGUAAAGCGCACGCAGGCGGUUGAUUGAGUCAGAUGUGAAAUCCCCGGGCUUAACCCGGGAAUUGCAUCUGAUACUGGUCAGCUAGAGUCUUGUAGAGGGGGGUAGAAUUCCAUGUGUAGCGGUGAAAUGCGUAGAGAUGUGGAGGAAUACCGGUGGCGAAGGCGGCCCCCUGGACAAAGACUGACGCUCAGGUGCGAAAGCGUGGGGAGCAAACAGG
rnacentral:rRNA from 1 species